GUCAGGAGUUUGAGGCCAGCUUGACCAACAUGGUGAAACCCCGCCGUCUCUACUAAAAAUACAAAAAGUAGCCGGGCGUGGUGGCACGCACCUGUAAUCCCAGCCACUGGGGAGGCUGAGGCAGGAGAACUGCUUGAACCCAGGAGGCAGAGGCUGUAGUGAGCCGAGAUUGUGCCACUGCAUUCCAGCCUGGGUGACAGAGCAAGACUCCAUCUCAAACAAACAAACAAAAAACACAGAAGUUUCUCCAUAAAUCUGGCAGCAAAAUUUGAUCUCAGCUAACAUGGGGCUAUGUCAUCUUUAUCCCACUUAAGAGUGAAUACUAACAUGCUAUGCUGCUAAACUAUUAGUAUUUGUGAGUAUUAUGUUUUUCAUUACCCUUAGAAAAAUUCUAAAAUCUGGAAUGUUGAGAAGUAUGUCUGGCCUCCGAGAAGAUUUGAAUAAGGAAUUGUGGACCUAGCUCCCUGUCCUGACUGAUGAGAAUCACCUAUAGACUAAAUAAAGUACUGGUACCAAGGGCUGGGUGUGGUGGCUCAUGCCUGUAAUCCUAGCACUAUGGGAGGCCAAGGCAGGAGCAUUGCUUAAGGCUGGUAGUUCAAGACCAGCAUGGGCAAAGUAGUGAGAUCUCUUCUCUACAAAAAAUACAAAAACUAGGCUGGGCAUGGUGCUUCUAACUUAUAUGACCAGCCCAACACUGUCCUAGGAACAAACCAGUGACCUAAUUAGCUAACAUGAACCAAACUGAUAAUACUUGCCCAGCUAAAUGAAGUGAUGGUGGAUAUGUAAUAAUUAUACAUCUAUCAAGACUAGUUUGGUAACUUAACAAAUCUCAGCAAUCCCUUACUCCCUUCAUAACAGAAGUGCGCAGAAUACAACUUUUCUAAGAGAGUAUCUAAGGAAAAUGUUAAAGUGAACAACUGAAUCUAAGUCUUCUCCCUGACAGAAAUGCUUAGAAAGGAGUAAAAGGGAGCAGCAUUGUGGCAUUACUCUAGACUCAGGGAAUCCCUGCAACUGGUGGAAAACUCCUACUCAAAAAGAUGUAUAAACAUGUACAAGGAUGUUUUGUUCUUGAUAGUAGGGGCUAAAAUUUCUGGACACCAUGGUAGAGCUGCUGUUACAGAGAAACUAAGUGCCAUGGAUCUGUGGUUUCAGGUGAAGUAGAAAAAGAAUGAAUUUAGAAAAUUGGAGGUUCACGUUAGAAGGUUGUGUGUUCUGAACAAAGGAAUGAAUGUCUGUUGAAGAUUUUAUAUGGUGUGAAUCCAAGCCACAAAGCUGAGCUGGGAUCCAAUUAGCUUCAAUAGCAACAAAUCUGAUUUGAAGUCAAAGAUGAACCUGUGGUUUUCAUCAAAGGUAACUUACUUUAACCAGGAACACAGAAAACAUGGAGGGUGAGCUCAGCUUGCACCUAAUGAGUUUAUACUCAGAGAAUAUUACAAUCUAAAUUUAUAUACACGUCAUUUGCUUUUACGCAAUCCUCUAAGACAGUGGUCCUCAACAUUGACUGCACACUAGAAUCAUGCUAGGGCAGUGCUGCUCAAAUUUUACUGUGCGUAGGCACCAUCUGGGGAUCUUGUUCCAAUUCAGCAGGUCUGGAAUGGAACCUGAGUCUACAUUUCUAACAAGUUUCCAAAUGAUCCCCAUGUAGUGGUCCUCAGACCACAACCUACAUAGUAUAUCAAGAACCUAGAGAACUUUUAAAUAUAGUUUUCUGGAUCCUACUCCUGAAAGAUUUUUAAUUAUCUGGAGAUACAACCUGGGCAUUUAUAUUUGUAAUCGCUUCCCUGGUGUCUCUAAUGCCCACCUAAUGUGCCAUGCUAAGUCAUUAUUUAUAUUUUACGAGUGGGGGACGGGGUCCCAGUUCUAGCUAAGAUGGAGAAAGCACACUCCACCCUAUCUUGUCCAUUGAUUAUUACUAAAAAUCCUGGAAAGAAUACAUAAAGCAAAUAUACAAGGACUCUGAAAAGUAAUUUGAAGCAAGCAGACUGGCGAGAGAAAUCAAAACUCAAAACAGUAGUGAGUUUCCUGGUUUUUUUCUCCCACAUAUGUCAGCUUAGACUUGAGGACAGCCCAAAUCUCAUUAACUGUGCAGUGAGUGAAGACAGAGAAAAGUUCCAAGAGAAACUCCUUCUGGCUAGAGAACUAGAAAAGAUGAUGAAUGGGAGAGGGACAAUGGGGAGGGGUGGAUAUCUGGUAAUUUUUCUUCUCUCUCAGCUCUGCCUCAAAGCAAGCCCCAAUCCUGAGUCUGCACACCUGUGGCUGGUAGCUGUCUCCUAAACUCUAAAAGAGAGUUCUUCUGACAAAAGAACUAGGAAAAAGACGAUGAUCGGAAGAGUAUGGAAGAGGGAAUUCAUUUUAUUUUUUUCUCUAACUUUUCUCUCUCUCCAUUUUGUUCAGGAAAUGAGCCCCUCUACAGAAAACGUAUGAAAAGCACAAAGAAGCUAAAAUUCCAGUUUUCUCACCAAAGAACCACGAAAAGAAACUCUUGGGAGCUUGUGUACAAGGGAAGUCACGGAGAGAAGAAACGUCCUCUAAAUUUGUGUAUACAAUCUCAAGUUUACCACCAACAUGCCCAUGUGUGAACUGACCCAAGGCGGCAGAGGAAAGGCGCUGAGAACUGCACAAUGGCAUGGAUGGCACACCUGGGACCUGAACAGCAAUACGAAGGUUUUGAAAAGUAAGUUCAAACUGGAUCCACAGCCCACAGAGGCAGUCUGAACCUAACCAGGUUAACUGCCCGCUAAAGUGAAACCAAAAAACCAAAAAUAUUUUCCAGAGGAUUUUAACAGCAUCCAGUUUUGUAACAAAAUAUUCAAAUGUCCAUGACAUACUCCAAAAUUAUGUGACAUGAAAAAUAAGGAAGCCAAGAUAUCUAAGGUCACACAGCACACAAACAGUUAAAGCCAGGGCUAAAACUCAAGUUUUCUAACUAACUAUAUGCCCAGGGCUUUCUCCACAGCCAGGUGACCUUGCUAGACAGUACUGUAACCCCAAAGUUAAGGGCUUAAGAUACUGAACCAAAUUAAUUAUUUAAACCUGAAUCUGACCAAAUGACAGAAAUAAAGUGUGUGUCUAUUUUGCUUUCUUAUCUAUCUAGAAUUCAAAUACUGAAGACUUGUGUGUGCCACAGACCUAAAUCUCAAGGUGACUAGUCUUCAGAAGACCAGGCUCUACUUCUACUUCUCCAGGUAAUGUGUGCUCAUUCUACCAGCAACAAAUAUUCCAGCUUGGGCCACUUUUCCUUUUUUUUUUCUUUGAGACGGAGUUUCACUCUUGUUGCCCAGGCUGGAGUGCAAUGGCGUGACUCAGCUCGCUACAACCUCCGCCUCCCGGGUUCAAGCGAUUCUCCUGCCUCGGCCUUCCUGAGUAGCUGGGAUUACAGGUGCCCACCACCACGCCCGGCUAAUUUUAUAUUUUUAGUAGAGACAGGGUUUCACCAUGUUGGUCAGGCUGGUCUCGACCUCUCGACCUCAGGUGAUCUGCCUGCCUCGGCCUCCCAAAGUGCUGGGAUUACAGGCGUGAGCCACCGCAUCCGGCCAGGCCACUUAUUUUUUAAGACUUAAAAAUUCUGCUCAGACUUGGCCAGUCGUGGUCUCACGCCUGUAAUCCCAGCACUUUGGGAGGAAGAGGCGGGUGGAUCACCUGAGGUGGGGAAUUCGAGACCAGCCUGAUCACGCCAUUGCACUCCAGCCUGGGUAACAAGAGCUAAAAUCUAUCUCCAAAAAAAAGAAAAAAAAAAUUCUGCUCAGACUCAAAACUCCUCUUUGAAAUCUUUCCUAAGGAAGACCAAACCACUCAUUCUCCCUCUUCAGUGAUACCAUUUCACAGUAAUAGUCUUUGUAAUACUUUUUGCACUCCUUUAUUUGCCUGUUGCUCACCUGUUAUGAAAUUUUCCGACUUCUUUAAGGGACAUCUUAUUCAUUAAUUCUUCAUCUCCUGGGUCUAACAUAGUACAUGAUAUAUUAUAGAUAUUCAAUAUGAUAAACUGACUUUUUUUUUUUUUUUUUGAGACAGGGCCUUGCUCUGUCGCCCAGGCUACAAUGCAGUGGCAAAAUCAUGGCUCACUGCAGC
rnacentral:lncRNA from 10 species